CGGAGGGAUCAUUAAAGAGUUCUAUAACUCCCAAACCCAUGUGAACAUACCUAACGUUGCCUCGGCAGGUCGCACCUACCUUGUAGCACCCUACCCUGUAGGGCCUACCCGGGAGGUGCGGGUAAGCCUGCCGGCGGCCCACCAAACUCUGUUUGAUAUUGAAUUCUGAACCUAUAACUAAAUAAGUUAAAACUUUCAACAACGGAUCUCUUGGUUCUGGCAUCGAUGAAGAACGCAGCGAAAUGCGAUAAGUAAUGUGAAUUGCAGAAUUCAGUGAAUCAUCGAAUCUUUGAACGCAUAUUGCGCCCAUUAGUAUUCUAGUGGGCAGGACCGUUCGAGCGUCAUUUCAACCCUUAAGCCUUCGUUGCUUAGUGUUGGGAGCCUACGGCAACGUAGCUCCUCAAAGUUAGUGGCGGAGUUGGUUCACACUCUAGACGUAGUAAUUUUUUAUCUCGCCUAUUAGUUGGACUAAUCCCCUGCCGUAAAACCCCCAAUUUAUCAAGGUUGACCUCGAAUCGGUUCAGACAAACUCGCUAAAUUGAAGCAUCUU
rnacentral:rRNA from 1 species